rnacentral:rRNA from 1 species
CUGACCUCAAAUCAGGUAGGACUACCCGCUGAACUUAAGCAUAUCAAUAAGCGGAGGAAAAGAAACUAACAAGGAUUCCCCUAGUAACUGCGAGUGAAGCGGGAAAAGCUCAAAUUUAAAAUCUGGCGGCAUUGGUCGUCCGAGUUGUAAUCUGGAGAAGCAUUUUCUGUGUCGGACCGUGCACAAGUUUCCUGGAACGGAAUGUCAUAGAGGGUGAGAAUCCCGUCCAUGGCACGGAUCACCGAUGCAUUGUGAUAUGCUCUCGAAGAGUCGAGUUGUUUGGGAAUGCAGCUCAAAAUGGGUGGUAAAUUCCAUCUAAAGCUAAAUAUUGGCGAGAGACCGAUAGCGAACAAGUACCGUGAGGGAAAGAUGAAAAGCACUUUGGAAAGAGAGUUAAACAGUACGUGAAAUUGUUGAAAGGGAAACGCUUGGAGUCAGUCGCGUUGGCCAGGAUUCAGUCGCUCUUACCGGAGUGGAUUACUUCCUGGUGAACGGGUCAACAUCGAUUUCGAACGGUGGAUAAAGGGGAGAGAAAGGUGGCACCUUCGGGUGUGUUAUAGUCUCUCUUUCGCAUACACCGGCCGGGAUCGAGGAUCGCAGCACGCCUUUAUGGCCGGGGGUUCGCCUCACGUAACGUGCUUAGGAUGUUGGCAUAAUGGCUUUAAGCGAC